GACGAACGCUGGCGGCGUGCUUAACACAUGCAAGUCGAACGGAAGGCCCUGCUUUGUGGGGUGCUCGAGUGGCGAACGGUGAGUAACACGUGAGUAACCUGCCCUUGACUUUGGGAUAACUUCAGGAAACUGGGGCUAAUACCGGAUAGGAGCUCCUGCUGCAUGGUGGGGUUGGAAAGUUUCGGCGGUUGGGAUGGACUCGCGGCUUAUCAGCUUGUUGGUGGGGUAGUGGCUUACCAAGGCUUUGACGGUAGCCGGCCUGAGAGGGUGACCGGCCACAUUGGGACUGAGAUACGGCCCAGACUCCUACGGGAGGCAGCAGUGGGGAAUAUUGCACAAUGGGCGGAAGCCUGAUGCAGCAACGCCGCGUGCGGGAUGACGGCCUCGGUGUAACCGGACUUUCGUCCUCGUGACGAAGCGUGAGUGACGGUAAU
rnacentral:rRNA from 1 species